GCCAUCAUAUAGAUCAGUCAGUACAACAUGAGACUCUUAAUUUCAGGGUUGUGGGUUUGAGCCCCACAUUGGGCA